ensembl:miRNA
UAUUAGGCGGGUGUAAAAGUAAUUGUGGUUUUUGUCAUUACUUUCAAUGGCAAAAAACACAAUUACUUUUGCACCACCAUAAUACUAA